AAGAAGAGAAAAUAUCAGUAUCUUAGUUGUUGAGAGGAGUAAGUGAGCUAACACUCGGCACAGUUACCGUUCUUCAAAUAUUGGUUAACGGCAGGCCCUGGCCCUCGCCCUCUGCGGUCCGGCCCACCCGGAGCACUCCGCCACAGCCAGGGCGCGGCGUUUAGGACCCUCCCGGUGAGCCGGUACCGCGAGUCCGCACGGUGCGCGCGUCAGGUAGCGCGGGAAGCGCGGACGUCAGUGAAAGAUGAGCCCUUUCCUGGGUCCGGGGAUAGAGGAAAGGUGUCCCGGGGUGGGGAGACACCAUCCCCAUCCCAGUUGGAGCCGGGUUAAGAAUUCCUCCAACCCACUGUGAUUCUCAGUCACCCGGCCUCUCCAAACGCGUCGGGAAAACGAACAGAAGAAUCCGCGAUCCGCGUGCGCGCAGCGGCGCCUAGUGGCGAGGGCCGGGCGCGGGCGGGAUACCCGCUGAGCCCCUGAGCCCCGUGCGCCCGGGGGGGUGCUGGGGUUGCGCCCCACUGCCAAGAUCUUGCUGCAGCCGCAAUCUGGGUCAGGAGAGGAAGUCUAAGGAGGCUCAGUGGCCACUGAGAAGAGAGGACGACUUGGAAAUGCGUCCCUUCUCCCUCCAUCACUGCAGUUCUCCGCUUCCGAGUUCACCAUUCACGCCAGUAUUCCAGCUCCACAAGGAGUCCGGCUUCCUUCCGAAAGGUGCAAGGAAGGGCGGAUAGGUUCUGCCCCAAAGGACGGCGUGGCACUGAUCACCUCUGCCGGGGCGAUGGCUAGCUACCGCGCAAGUGAGGCCACAACUCCAUGCCUGAGGUCCCAGAUCCUUCCGCCAGACCACAGCGGCUCAGAGAAUGGGCCCAAGAUGUCCCGCCUCGGGUGGAGUCGAAAGAGCUGGGGUCUUCGGGUGCGACUCGCCCAGCUUCGCGCCCCCUCGUGGCCGGCCAAGGACGCCCCGAGACAGGGUCCUGGGGGUUAUCGCAGAGGUGGCGAUUGAUCACCAACCGGAUUGGACAACCGCAGCGGGGCCCGGGUGACCGGCCCUGUCCUCCUGGAGCGCGCGGAUCCCAUCCCUCCCGGGGCAGCCCGGAUCCUCCCGUGAGGUGAGGCUGUGCAAUCCGCGUGGGGCUUGCUGGAAACCCAUGUGGCAUCCUCGGCGAAACUGUUCAAAGCAUCCACCUGGGAGUCAAGCCCUCGCGGGAGGGUCUGGACCCCAGUCCAGAGCGGCUGCAGGAAACAGGCGCUGCCCCUCUCUGGACGUUAGCGGGAGGCUGUGAGCGUCUGUUUCGAGAUUCAAGAUUUCUGAAGAGCCAAGAACGCCGACUGACGCAUGGAGCCACACGCAGGACCUGGCCGCUGAGUUUUCCCUCCUUUAUGACGUUGACACCCGUCAAUCCCUCAACACGCAGGUUGUCCUGAUUCACUAUUGAAAGCAAGGAAACAGAGUCAAAGGAGAUCUCGGUUUCUGUCUCCCUCGGCUGAUUUCAAGUGAAAGUCUAACGCUGAGCAAGGGUAGGCAAGGGACAGACUGAGGUACACAGACAGGGAAGCAGGAAUUAGAACACGGGCGCUCUUGCUCAGGCAACUGCCCCGACAGGGGUGGAGACAGCUGUCUCCCCUGCUGUCUCCCCCUGGCUUGCAUGGGUAGGGUUGUCGCAAACCUCUCUAACCUCCCCAAAACCUGCUUCUCCAUUGGACCACAAGGGCACCGACUGUCACCAGGUGCUCCCGAGGCCAGAAAAGGUGGCCUCCAGCAGGCCACAGGACUAGCACGGGAGGCGGGGCCCCCACCUUUCCCCUCCUCUGCUGCCUUGUCCAGCAUCUUUUCGUUUGAGACUCUGUUCUAGCCACUGGUCCCUGGCCUUGUAACUUGGGGUCCAGUCCUUUAAGGAGCUCCCUGGGGUUGUCAGUGGUGAUCCCCCUGGGAACCUAGGGGCAGCUUCUGAAACACUGGCAUCCCUUAAGCCCCUGUCUCAGGAACUUAAUUGUCUCUUUUUAGUCCCUCCCCAUUUUCUGGACUCUGGGGACUGGGUGAGGACUUAGAAAGGACAUCAUGGUCACUUGAGGAGAGAAGGAAACUAGAGGCUUUUUCUCUUGGCUGCUGCAGCUCUCUUUGAAACCUGGGGAGGAUGCAGGGGAGACCGAAGAACUCUCACCUGUAUCGAGUAUUAAUUUAAAAGCCUGUUUGCUCACAUCCACGAUCUCAGUGAAGAGCACAAGCUGGUGUGGAAGGAGUCAUGAUGCCUAUUUUCCGGAUGAGAAAACUGAGGUUCAGAGAAGUUACACAAACCACUCUCACCUCCUGGCCGUGCAAGCCAUGGUCACUCCACCAGGAGCCCCGGUACGGUCCCGCCUCUUCAGCCCCCUCCCCAGCGUCGCCAGGCACCUGCCUUCAAGCCAAUGAGAAAAGGCAGAGAAGAGCCCCCGCAGGCGGACGGGGGCGCCCAAACCGUUAUAGCUGGCGAGGCUCGUCGAGGCGGCCUCACACAGUGUAACUCCGGAGCUUGCUUCGAACCCAAUUGCCCACCAUUGUCCUCCAGGCCACUUUUUCCGGCCUGAGGUCUCUCCCCACGCCCUCUUCUUUCCGGGUCGCCUCCUGGUGACUCGAGCCCCGGGUUUAGGACUAAAAGGCGGUGGGCGGCCUCACCGCGGCCAGUGAGCGGGAGAGCAAGCAGGGCCCGCUGGGCGGCCGGGAUGCUCCGGGGCCGCGGCCGAGGCUCGGCACCUUCGCGUUGCUAAUGUGGGCGACUCAGAGCGGCUCGGAAACCUCCGGGGGUGCCCACAGAGCAGCGCCUACGCGGGCGGAUGAAAAAACCAGAGCUCAAGCUCUCUUCGCAGCCAGCAAGGCGGCCCGAAGGCCCUGGUCCAGCGACCUCUGCCUCCCCAGCUCUGCCCAGCCUGCGCGGAGCUAGGCGGGGACAGAAGAGUGGACAGGCGCUGGAGCUUCCGAAGAGGCCCACAGAGAGGAUCAGGCUGCCCCCCUCCCACGGAGACCCGUUCUCGGAGCAGCAGCAAACCUGUCUCGGCCCCAGCGGCCUUUAAUAACUGGCAACCGCAGGACGGCCUGGCUGCCCCCGGGGUGAGGGGAAGGAGCCCUCCAGUUCGCGCCCCGCAGCUGCCCGCCUCCCCCGCCACACUCCUAUUCCGGGCCCCUAUUUGGACACCAGGGGGUUGGACACACCAUGCCUCACUCCCCUAUUUGCGUUCCCCCGGUGUCUGCGUGCGGGGACACGCCGUGCAUUCCGCUUCCCCCAAGGCCGCGCGGAGCCCUCCGCUUCGUGGCCAGCCCCAGGUGGCUGGAGGAGAAGCCGAGAGUGGGGUCUGAGGGGACCUCCAGGGACCUGCAGUCUGCUGAAGCCCGCUUGGGCCUUCGAGGCCUCCGCGCUGGGUUCGGCGUGUCCCCCCCGCCGCGAGCGGAGGCCCGGAGAGGCCGGACCGCAGCCGCCCUCCGCUUAGCUGGGCCGCCUGCGGCUCGCCGUGGGCUGCGCAACAAAGGGUGGCAUCGCGGCGGCGCGGGCAGGGACCUCAUAGGUUCAAUAUUAGCUUUUCAUUCCAGUCUAUUGUGCCCAUCUGAGAUAAUAUUGACUCUGAGGUGAGAGCCCACAGACGACAGGGCUUGUCUAACACUUCGCGGCAGGGCGCUCCAAGGGAAGGGAAUCAGAAAUGGAGAGUUAAAGAGAUUGCAAAUAAAAGCUGCUCGCACGGCGGCGCGCCCCGGAGCCGCGGACAGACGGGCCGCCUGCGCUCCCCGCGCCGUGCGCCCGGGCCUCCACCCGGAGCUGGGGGUCCGUAGAGGGUCUCAAGCCCCAGAGACCUCUCUAAGGAGGGGCGCUGCGCGUUCCCAUCGAAAACAGCGCUCGUUUAACACACACUCCCUUCUUCCAGGCAAUUGAUUUUGAGGCUCCGUUUCCAGGUAACUCUGGAGCAAAACUAAUUCCCAUACACAGUUUUAGUUCGCCAGUAAACCAACGGCGGCCACUGAGAUAUUUUCCCCUUUUAAACGAUGCAACUCUUUAGGGUAACUUCUCUGUCAAAGUGUUUCUCCCAUUUCCCCAGCAUAAAAAGGGUAAACACACGCGGCAAUUAUCAUUAAGCUGCAUUACUUGCGAGUGCGCGGUUAAUAUCAAAUUUCUAACUGUACGUUUUGCUUUGCUUUGAACCAUUUCCUUGCAGCCCAUCCGCGGGUUUCUUAACUGCCUUUCUAACCGCAGCUUUAAAGGGCCUCUGGAACGUUCAAGUCUUGCAUAUAAAGAUUCGUUUCAAUUUCCAAAUUGCUUGUAAAUGCCUGCGUUGGAAAAUGGCACUUUAAGUUGUCUUACGUGUCUGAGACAGAACACUUGGGUUUAGCUCGCGGGACCAAACGCCAUAUGCUCGGGGCUUGCAGUGAACGUGGGGAAAGGAGCCCUCGGCUCUCGUUUACGAAAUUUGUGCCCCCUCCCCCCGUGGAGUCUGACCUCUGUAAGAGAUAAUGUGUUAACUGUUACUCCAAUAAGGAGCUGGUCGUUUGGAAUCUUUACGUCCACCCCAAGACACGUGGGCGCAUGGGGAAGUGGGACGGGGCAGGGAGUAGGGUGGCGACACCAGCAACCGGGGAACCGUUGUGCACGUCCCUCCUUCCUCUCAGGCGUCCUGUACGGAGCUGGGGCCGGGCGAUAUGGAGCUUCCAGCCCCUUGGUUAUUUCAGAGAAGGACAUUCUGUUUAAUAUAUGCGAUGUAUAGUAUAUUUUACAUAUAUGGGCCGUUUGUGUUAUUUAUGAUUUAACAUAUAAUAUGUAUUAUACGGUAAUCUUAUUGUAUACUGCUAUUUAGCAUAUAUUUAACAUCUAGCUCCUAUAUUACGUUAUACUACUUAACAUAUAAUGAGUUUUAUUAUACAUUACAUGUAGUAUUGUAUGUAGUCCAUACAUGUAGUACUACAUAUAUGCAGUAUUGUGUGUUGUACAUAGUUCUGGGUAUAUAUGUACUUAUACAUAUAUUUAAUUCUUCCGUGUGUGUGUAAAAGUAUUUGGGGAGCCUUUAACCUCCCUGCAAGCACAUAUCUGAUCGUUUUAAUGCAACGUCAUAAAGUCCUGAUCGAAACCACUUUGACGACAGCUAUGUCUUUAUAACAAAUACCUGCCAUCCAUUUCGGCUCCAGGGAAAGGUGGUAACUCUGUGUGAGGGACAGCAGGUCCCCUCUGGAAGGUGGUUUUCCAAAUACCCAUUCCCUGGGGACAGAGGAGCCAACGUCCUGGACCAGACGACGGCGGCCUCCUGUCUUUGCUUGUGUUGAGGUGGUGGUUUUGGUUUUGAGUGAGGCUGUUUAGAGGCACCGAUGGUCCCUAAACUGAUGUCAUGAAUUAAAAAUGAAUUUGGGGGGUGAGGCAUAUGCUCGGUUGGGGCGUUGGGAGAGCAGCGGAGGCCUUUCACCCGCGGUUCUGGGCUCCAGACGCCCACUGACCGGCUGGCCUCGGCGCCGGUGGCGGGCGCGCAGCGGCGCUCCGGGCUCACGCAGGUCGGUCGCUGCUCCAGCUCGCUGCCGCCCUGCCCUGCGCUAGGGAAAGCUGUCGGUGGCUUGGAGCACUUGCAGAUCAGGCGGUCUCCACUACAGUCCGCUUCUAAUAUCGAAUAAGAGCUAAAAGAAGCAGGCAAUCGGGAGCUCCCGCAGGAGGACAGAAACCAGGUGGGCCCGGGGAAAAGAAAGUCGGGAUUUCAGAUGUCCUCACGUUAUCGCCCCUUUAAAAGGCAGGAACCGCACAAGAGAUCCAGCUUUGGGAGAGAAAAAGAGAAAGAAAAAAAUUUUUUAAAGACAUUCGAAAUCAGGUGCUGGGAUAGAGCUGGUCAUAAUCAAACCAAAGAGGAAAAGGGAAGUGAAUGCUGGUUGCCGAAGGAAACAUUCUCAAGCAGGGAGAGUCGAUGGGAUGAGGAGUCGAUGAAGACCUGCAGACAGAUCUAAGGGGUCACGGGGCGCUUUGAAGGGCAGUGGCCCUGGAUCUGCUUCUCCUUCACAAGGUGUUCGCUUGGCAAGAAACUCCUGAUUCAGAAACCCUUCCAGCAAGGAGAUAAGUUUUUCUCAGCAGCAAAUGACUACAAACACAUCUGCAUUGACAAGUCGAAACUUAUAUCCUUCUAUGGUCUUUCUGCUCUUUUGAAAAUGUUAAUAAAAACUUAAUGUGGAAAAAAACACAACUUUUUCCAAAUAUGUGUACCAACGAGCCCGAGGCAACUCAUACUUUCUUAUAAAAUAAAGUAGGUCACUCACAUCAAUCAUGUUGUCUUAGCACAUUUUUUCCAAAUUAGGAAUUUUCAAUCCAUCAUACCACAUUAUGGCAUCCCUUUUCCAAACAUUUCCUUUUAAUAUGCUCUUUAACAUGAUAAGCAAAUCUAAUAGAAUACAUUAGUGUCACUUUCCAGUGAUGGAGUGUUUCCUCCUGUUGCAAUCCACGAUGAGUUCAGGGAAACAUUUUCUACUUCACUCUGUAACAGCCGUCGCUUGUUGAAAAUAUGACAAUGGCCUCACAGCUGCCAAGGCCACACUUGAGUGUUAGCCUGACAAAGAUCACGGGACCCCUCCCUCACCUCUCCAUGUGUCAUAUAUGUAGAAAUCCCAAAAGAUGUGUGUGUCCCAAAGCCCAAUCGUAAAUCCGCAUCCCGUACGUGAGGCGAGUGUUCUAGCCUGCCGAUUCAGUAGGGUUACAUGCGCGCACACACUCUCCUGUGUAGAUCGAAAGCUUGUACUGGGCUUCAUUUGAAAACCACAUUGCUCACAGAACAUUUCCAAACCUCCUGGAUCAUGCAGAAAGGGAGGAUCCUUGGCUUAAUAUGUGUGAGAUUCUCCAAAACCGGUUACUAUCUUUGCGCAAGUGAAUUUGGACCUGUGAGAGAGGAGUGCUCUGUUUACAACCCGCUUGAGAUAAAUAUAUUUGCAUGUUCAUAUAUUUGACAACAUUUACCUGGCAAAAACAGGGUAUCUGUUUCCACUCGGAUCUCUAGCUCUCGGAUUCAUGUGUUCGGUAUUAGCGCUCGAGGUUCUUUAGGGAUUUUUUAUUUGGACAGAGUUUUGGAAUAGAACAUUUGGGAAGCUGGGAGUGGGAGAGGUUUGUAGAGCGCCCAGGAAUUCAGCUGUUUCAGGCUUUUGGCCACCCAACAGGAAAACAUCUCAAUGGAAAAGGGAAAGUUCAGUUUGUUUUCUGGACCUUUCAUCUGGACACACGGGGUCCUGUAGACACUAGUUUAGAUUGCCCAUUCCAUAAGUCACAUCACUUCUUCCAAACGUCUGGGGAAAGAGAAAGGUGAAGGUAUGGACUCUGAUUAGCCAUAGCUUCCAGACCCUGCCCCUUUCUGGCCCAGAGCUAAUGGCUUGAGGCUGUGUGUGCCCAGGAGAUGUCAUUAACUCCUUUAUCAUAAAAAUCACUGUGCUGGAGGCAGCGGGGGACACAGAAAUGAGGCACAGCUCGUACCCUUAAGGAGCUGGAAAUCAAGCUUGAUAUCAAGUAGAACAUGAUGAGGAAAAGCAAAAAAUACCCAGUGAGUUCAGAGGAGAGAGAGAUCACUGCCAGGUAGGGGUGGAUGUAAUAAAAGAUUAAGA
ensembl:lncRNA